rnacentral:misc_RNA from 1 species
GUCAGGCAGCUGCUGGUGUUUCUCUCCAGCCCGCCGCCCCUCCUCUCCUUUUUUUUCCGGCGAGUGAAGCAGCCGGACAGAAACACCAGCAGCUGCCUGACAGGCGCAUCCUCUCCCUCUUCCCAGCCGUCGUCUUCUCCAUCGAUUUCUCCUCCCUUCUCUGUUCCCUUUUCCGGAGGGUAGCAUCUCGGCGAGAGCACACGCAGCAGCUACAUCGAGCUCCGUCGAGACUCCUUCUUCCUUCUCCUCCUUUCUCCGGCAAGAAUCUGGUCAACAGCAGCGACAACAAAUCAGCAAGGCCCUCGUGUCUCCUUCUCCGGUAAAAAAACUUACUCGUUAUUUUUAUGAGAGAAGCCAGGAAACACGAAUUACCAAAUGGCGAAGUCAUCCACUAUCAAAGGAAGUACGGUGGAGGAAUGCCAAGACAUGAUCCGGAGAAGUCUUAGAACUCCAAUGGUGAAGUUCUUAAAGGAGCAUUUGGAGAAAUCUGGUUGUCGAAUUGGUGAUAACUUCAUAAGAGCUGUCCAUUGCAACAAGAUGGCCAGCGGCUUCUAUGUUCGUGGACUUGGGAUACAAGUGUGCAGUAACUACAUGCGAUAUCAAGAUGAGGUGAAUCAAGUUAUCAUACAUGAGUUAAUUCAUGCAUAUGAUGAGUGUCGUGCUGCAAACUUGGAGUGGUCUAAUUGUGCUCAUCAUGCUUGUAGUGAAAUCAGAGCUGGCCAUCUUAGCGGUGAUUGCCAUUACAAACGGGAACUACUGAGAGGUUUUCUUAAGAUACGUGGCCAUGAACAAGAAUGUGUGAAGCGAAGAGUUAUGAAAUCGUUGUCUAUUAACCCAAACUGUUCAGAGACGACGAGUAAGGAAACCAUGGAAGCUGUCUGGGAUAUUUGUUACAAUGAUACUAUGCCCUUCGACAGAGCCCCUUGAAAC